rnacentral:rRNA from 1 species
AUUGAACGCUGGCGGCAGGCCUAACACAUGCAAGUCGAGCGGAUGAGGGAAGCUUGCUUCCCGAUUUAGCGGCGGACGGGUGAGUAAUGCCUAGGAAUCUGCCUAUUAGUGGGGGAUAACGUUCCGAAAGGAACGCUAAUACCGCAUACGUCCUACGGGAGAAAGUGGGGGAUCUUCGGACCUCACGCUAAUAGAUGAGCCUAGGUGGGAUCAGCGAGUUGGGGAGGUAACGGCUAACCAAGGCGACGAUCCGUAGCUGGUCUGAGAGGAUGAUCAGCCACACUGGAACUGAGACACGGUCCAGACUCCUACGGGAGGCAGCAGUGGGGAAUAUUGGACAAUGGGCGAAAGCCUGAUCCAGCCAUGCCGCGUGUGUGAAGAAGGUCUUCGGAUUGUAAAGCACUUUAAGUUGGGAGGAAGAGUUGUAAGCUAAUAUCUUGCAGCUUUGACGUUACCAACAGAAUAAGCACCGGCUAACUCUGUGCCAGCAGCCGCCGCAGUAA